rnacentral:rRNA from 1 species
GCGGCGCACGGGUGAGUAACACGUGGGUAAUCUGCCCUAGAGUCCGGAAUAACUCGCCGAAAGGCGCGCUAAUGCCGGAUGAGACCACGGGAGCCUCGGCUCCUGCGGGAAAAGGUGGCCUCUGUACACAAGCUAUCGCUCUAGGAUGAGCCCGCGGCCCAUCAGCUCGUUGGCGGGGUAAUGGCCCACCAAGGCUACGACGGGUAGCUGGUCUGAGAGGACGAUCAGCCACACUGGAACUGAGACACGGUCCAGACUCCUACGGGAGGCAGCAGUGGGGAAUCUUGCGCAAUGGGCGAAAGCCUGACGCAGCAACGCCGCGUGUGUGAUGAAGGUCUUCGGAUCGUAAAGCACUGUCGCGAGGGACGAAUAAGGGGCGGGUUAACAUCCCGUUCCGAUGACGGUACCUCGAGAGGAAGCACCGGCUAACUCUGUGCCAGCAGCCGCGGUAAUACAGAGGGUGCGAGCGUUGUUCGGAAUUAUUGGGCGUAAAGCGCGUGUA